AUUGAACGCUGGCGGCAUGCCUUACACAUGCAAGUCGAACGGCAGCACGGGAGCAAUCCUGGUGGCGAGUGGCGAACGGGUGAGUAAAGUAUCGGAACGUGCCCAGUCGUGGGGGAUAACGUAGCGAAAGUUACGCUAAUACCGCAUACGAUCUAUGGAUGAAAGCGGGGGAUCGCAAGACCUCGCGCGAUUGGAGCGGCCGAUAUCAGAUUAGGUAGUGGGUGGGGUAAAGGCGCACCAUGCCGACGAUCUGUAGCUGGUCUGAGAGGACGACCAGCCACACUGGGACUGAGACACGGCCCAGACUCCUACGGGAGGCAGCAGUGGGGAAUUUUGGACAAUGGGCGAAAGCCUGAUCCAGCCAUGCCGCGUGCAGGAUGAAGGCCUUCGGGUUGUAAACUGCUUUUGUACGGAACGAAAAGGUUUGGCCUAAUAAGCUGAGCUCAUGACGGUACCGUAAGAAUAAGCACCGGCUAACUACGUGCCAGCAGCCGCGGUAA
rnacentral:rRNA from 1 species